UAGGGAAUCUUCCACAAUGGACGCAAGUCUGAUGGAGCAACGCCGCGUGAGUGAAGAAGGUUUUCGGACCGUAAAGCUCUGUUGUUGGUGAAGAAGGAUAGAGGUAGUAACUGGCCUUUAUUUGACGGUAAUCAACCAGAAAGUCACGGCUAACUACGUGCCAGCAGCCGCGGUAAUCGUAGGUGGCAAGCGUUGUCCGGAUUUAUUGGGCGUAAAAGCGAGCGCAGGCGGAAGAAUAAGUCUGAUGUGAAAGCCCUCGGCUUAACCGAGGAAUUGCAUCGGAAACUGUUUUUCUUGAGUGCAGAAGAGGAGAGUAGAACUCCAUGUGUAGCGGUGGAAUGCGUAGAUAUAUGGAAGAAUACCAGUGGCGAAGGCGGCUCUCUGGUCUGCAAACUGACGCUGAGGCUCGAAAAGCAUGGGUAGCGAACAGGAUUAGAUACCCUGGUAGUCCAUGCCGUAAACGAUGAGCGCUAAGUGUUGGGAGGCUUCCGCCUCUCAGUGCUGCAGCUAACGCAUUAGGCACUCCGCCUGGGGGAGUACGACCGCAAGGU
rnacentral:rRNA from 1 species